ensembl:lncRNA
GUGAAUGAGGUGAAGGUAUUGGUAUUAUUAAAUGCCUGUGAAUGAGGUGAAGAUAUUGGUAUUAUUAAAUGCCUGUGAAUGAGGUGAAGGUAUUGGUAUUAUUAAAUGCCUGUGAAUGAGGUGAAGGUAUUGGUAUUAUUAAAUGCCUGUGAAUGAGGUGAAGGUAUUGGUAUUAUUAAAUGCCUGUGAAUGAGGUGAAGGUAUUGGUAUUAUUAAAUGCCUGUGAAUGAGGUGAAUGUAUUGGUGUUAUUAAAUGCCUGUGAAUGAGGUGAAGGUAUUGGUGUUAUUAAAUGCCUGUGAAUGAGGUGGAGGUAUUGGUAUUAUUAAAUGCCUGUGAAUGAGCUGAAGGUAUUGGUGUUAUUAAAUGCCUGUGAAUGAGGUGAAGGUAUUGGUAUUACUAAAUGCCUGUGAAUGAGGUGAAGGUAUUGGUGUUAUUAAAUGCCUGUGAAUGAGGUGAAGAUAUUGGUAUUAUUAAAUGCCUGUGAAUGAGGUGAAUGUAUUGGUGUUAUUAAAUGCCUGUGAAUGAGGUGAAGGUAUUGGUGUUAUUAAAUGCCUGUGAAUGAGGUGAAGGUAUUGGUGUUAUUAAAUGCCUGGGAAUGAGGUGAAGGUAUUGGUGUUAUUAAAUGCCUGUGAAUGAGGUGAAGGUAUUGGUGUUAUUAAAUGACUGGGAAUGAGGUGAAGGUAUUGGUAUAACGUUUUUAUGAAGUGAUGAACCAGCUUUGAUUUUCAAUGUUUUUGCUUGUUUUUUCCCUACAACCUCUCUUUCUUCAGUAAGUUGCUUUCCUCUUUCUCUCUCUCUCUCUUUCUUUCUUUCUCUCUUUCUUUCUUUCUCUCUUUCUUUCUUUCUUUCUGUUGUUGUAUGUGCCUCAGUACAUGCGCUUGAUUACGUGUGUGUGUGUGUGUGUGUGUGUGUGUGUGUGUGUGUGUGUGUGUGUGUGUGUGUGUGUGUGUGUGUGUGUGUGUGUGUGUGUGUGUGUGUGUGUGUGUGUGUGUGUGUGUGUGUGUGUGUGUGUGUGUGUGUGUGGAAAAGAAAGCGCUAAAGAGAGAACUGUUGACUGAUGUUCUGUAUUGUAGUGCUGUAUGUAAAUAACUUACCUCCCUCUAGCAGACUUUUAAUAAAAGUGUACAAGAUGGCUGAAAGUACAAACCUUUUGGGUGACAUCUUUGAUUUGAAGGUUCCCUGCUAAAAAAAAUGUUUUUUCAAUGAUAGGCCACAUAUGUGCAAGCUUGUAAUUUGUUGAAAGAGUGCACACCUUUUUUUAGCAGGGAACCUUCAAAUCAAAGAUGCACACCUAAAGUAGUACUAUUUUUACAGCAAGUUGAUGAAUUUCCUUUCACUUUAAUUUGGUAAAAGACCGGCAUACACACUUGUUUUUGUUACACAACUAAUGGUAAUGACAUGAGUGGCUAUUACAUAAGCACAACAUCAUGACUCUCUACUACAUUUUUACAAGUUAUAAUUUGUCUUCUUUGGCAACCCUUUAUUUCACGUGUUUCCAAGAGAAAAUUAUAACACAACCAUUUCUAGAACUGUACAGAUUGUGAAAAUGUAUAUAUGACUAAACAUUUCAGUCACUCUUUAAUUUUUGUAUGGGAAGAAAUGACAUGUGUUAAAGAAUAAUAAAAAAUUUGAUUAAAUAUUUAAUAAUAUUUAAAAAGAGGAUAAUUAAACACAGUCGAUGUGAAAAUAAGUGCUAAGAAAUAUUCUUCUUCUGUCUCUUUGUACAAAACAAAGUGUUGAGUAUUAAUAAAAAACAUGAAAUCAUGUCAUUUGUGAAAUUCCUAUGUUUUCUUAUUUUUCCCCUCUAAACAGAUUUC